UACGGGGGGAGCAAGCGUUGUUCGGAUUUACUGGGCGUAAAGGGCGCGUAGGCGGCCAGCACAAGUCAGUUGUGAAAUCUCCGAGCUUAACUCGGAAAGGUCAACUGAUACUGUGCGGCUAGAGUGCAGAAGGGGCAACUGGAAUUCUUGGAUGUAGCGGUGAAAUGCGUAGAUAUCAAGAGGGAACACCUGGCGGCGAAGGCGGGUUGCUGGGCUGACACUGACGCUGGAGGCGCGGAAAGCUAGGGGAGCGAACGGG
rnacentral:rRNA from 1 species